ACGAACGCUGGCGGCGUGCUUAACACAUGAAAGUCGAACGGAAAGGCCCUGCUUUUGUGGGGUGCUCGAGUGGCGAACGGGUGAGUAACACGUGAGUAACCUGCCCUUGACUUUGGGAUAGCUUCAGGAAACUGGGGCUAAUACCGGAUAGGAGCUCCUGCUGCAUGGUGGGGGUUGGAAAGUUUCGGCGGUUGGGGAUGGACUCGCGGCUUAUCAGCUUGUUGGUGGGGUAGUGGCUUACCAAGGCUUUGACGGGUAGCCGGCCUGAGAGGGUGACCGGCCACAUUGGGACUGAGAUACGGCCCAGACUCCUACGGGAGGCAGCAGUGGGGAAUAUUGCACAAUGGGCGGAAGCCUGAUGCAGCAACGCCGCGUGCGGGAUGACGGCCUUCGGGUUGUAAACCGCUUUCGCCUGUGACGAAGCGUGAGUGACGGUAAUGGGUAAAGAAGCACCGGCUAACUACGUG
rnacentral:rRNA from 1 species